rnacentral:rRNA from 1 species
ACGGACGCUGGCGGCGUGCCUAAUACAUGCAAGUUGAGCGAUGAAGAUUGGUGCUUGCACCCAUUUGAAGAGCAGCGAACGGGUGAGUAACGCGUGGGGAAUCUGCCUUUGAGCGGGGGACAACAUUUGGAAACGAAUGCUAAUACCGCAUAACAACUUUAAACAUAAGUUUUAAGUUUGAAAGAUGCAAUUGCAUCACUCAAAGAUGAUCCCGCGUUGUAUUAGCUAGUUGGUGAGGUAAAGGCUCACCAAGGCGAUGAUACAUAGCCGACCUGAGAGGGUGAUCGGCCACAUUGGGACUGAGACACGGCCCAAACUCCUACGGGAGGCAGCAGUAGGGAAUCUUCGGCAAUGGACGAAAGUCUGACCGAGCAACGCCGCGUGAGUGAAGAAGGUUUUCGGAUCGUAAAACUCUGUUGGUAGAGAAGAACGUUGGUGAGAGUGGAAAGCUCAUCAAGUGACGGUAACUACCCAGAAAGGGACGGCUAACUACGUG